rnacentral:rRNA from 1 species
GACGAACGCUGGCGGCGUGCCUAAUACAUGCAAGUCGAACGCUGAAGGAGGAGCUUGCUCUUCUGGAUGAGUUGCGAACGGGUGAGUAACGCGUAGGUAACCUGCCUGGUAGCGGGGGAUAACUAUUGGAAACGAUAGCUAAUACCGCAUAAGAGUAGAUGUUGCAUGACAUUUGCUUAAAAGGUGCAAUUGCAUCACUACCAGAUGGACCUGCGUUGUAUUAGCUAGUUGGUGGGGUAACGGCUCACCAAGGCGACGAUACAUAGCCGACCUGAGAGGGUGAUCGGCCACACUGGGACUGAGACACGGCCCAGACUCCUACGGGAGGCAGCAGUAGGGAAUCUUCGGCAAUGGACGGAAGUCUGACCGAGCAACGCCGCGUGAGUGAAGAAGGGUUUCGGAUCGUAAAGCUCUGUUGUAAGAGAAGAACGAGUGUGAGAGUGGAAAGUUCACACUGUGACGGUAGCUUACCAGAAAGGGACGGCUAACUACGUG